UACGUAGGGUGCGAGCGUUGUCCGGAAUUAUUGGGCGUAAAGAGCUCGUAGGCGGUCUGUCGCGUCGAUCGUGAAAACUUGGGGCUCAACCCCAAGCUUGCGGUCGAUACGGGCAGGCUAGAGUUCGGUAGGGGAGACUGGAAUUCCUGGUGUAGCGGUGAAAUGCGCAGAUAUCAGGAGGAACACCGGUGGCGAAGGCGGAUCUCUGGGCCUUACCUGACGCUGAGGCGCGAAAGCUAGGGGAGCGAACAGG
rnacentral:rRNA from 1 species